rnacentral:rRNA from 1 species
AUUGAACGCUAGCGGCAUGCUUAACACAUGCAAGUCGAACGGUAGCAGACCUAGCUUGCUAGGUGCUGACGAGUGGCGGACGGGUGAGUAACGCGUAGGAAUCUACCUUGUAGUGGGGAAUAACUUGGGGAAACUCAAGCUAAUACCGCAUAAGCCCGAAAGGGGAAAGCGGGGGACUGUAACAGGCCUCGCGCUAUGAGAUGAGCCUGCGUCGGAUUAGCUAGUUGGUGGGGUAAAGGCCUACCAAGGCGAGGAUCCGUAGCUGGUCUGAGAGGACGACCAGCCACACUGGGACUGAGACACGGCCCAGACUCCUACGGGAGGCAG